rnacentral:misc_RNA from 1 species
CCCAACUAUCCCUAUUAAUCAUUACGAAGGUCCCUAAACCAACAAAAUAGAACCUCGUCCUAUUUCAUUAUUCCAUGCUAAUGUAUUCAAGCGUCAAAGCCCGCUUUAAACACUCUAAUUUUUUCAAGGUAAAGGUCCUGGUUCCCGCGGACACCAACCGAAUGGCAUCCACGCUCGCCAGAAGGUGAGACCCGCCGCGAAGCAGUGCUCGCCCAGAGGACGGACCACUCGGACGGGCCUAAAGUUCAACUACGAGCUUUUUAACUGCAACAACUUUAAUAUACGCUAUUGGAGCUGGAAUUACCGCGGCUGCUGGCACCAGACUUGCCCUCCAA